UACAGAGGGUGCGAGCGUUAAUCGGAAUGACUGGGCGUAAAGGGUGCGUAGGUGGUUGGAUAAGAGAGAGGUGAAAUCCCUAGGCUUAACCUAGGAACUGCCUCUCAGACUGUUUAGCUGGAGUGCAGUAGAGGGUAGAGGAAUUUCCGGUGUAGCGGUGAAAUGCGUAGAUAUCGGAAGGAACACCAGUGGCGAAGGCGGCUACCUGGACUGACACUGACACUGAGGCACGAGAGCGUGGGUAGCAAACAGG
rnacentral:rRNA from 1 species